GCCUUCGUGGUGUAGUGGUCAGUACACUCGGCGCGUGUUCGAGAGAUCCGUGGUUUCGAUUCCCGGCGACGGUA
rnacentral:tRNA from 1 species